rnacentral:rRNA from 1 species
AUUGAACGCUGGCGGCAGGCCUAACACAUGCAAGUCGAGCGAGCGGCGGACGGGUGAGUAAUGUCUGGGAAACUGCCUGAUGGAGGGGGAUAACUCCUGGAAACGGUAGCUAAUACCGCAUCCCAUCAGAUGUGCCCAGAUGGGAUUAGCUAGUAGGUUGGGUAACGGCUAACCUAGGCGACGAUCCCUAGCUGGUCUGAGAGGAUGACACGCCACACUUGAACUAAUACACGUUCCCGACUCCUACUGGAGGCAGCAGUGGGUAAUAUUGCACAAGGUGCACAAGCCUGAUACAGCCAUGCCGCGUGUGUGAGGAAGGCCAUCGGGUUGUAAAGCAUUUUCAGCGGGGAGGCGUUACCCGCAGAAGAAGCACCGGCUAACUCCGUGCCAGCAGCCGCGGUAAUUC